rnacentral:lncRNA from 10 species
UCCCACUCCACGUCCUGUCCAAUACUUGGCAUUGUGAGUUUUUCCCAUUUUAGCCAUUCUAUGAGUAUGCCGAGGUAUCACACCGUGGUUUUAAUUUUAUUUCUCAGAUGACGAAUGCAGUUCAUUUUUUUACCAAGGAUAUUUUGGACCUGGAAACAUUAUUCAACAAAUUUGAAAAUUUCCUUUCGUCCCCAAAUUGUAGAACUCACUUCCAUCCCCACAUUGUGGAAACGUCUGGCAGUGCUUCUGAUUUCUUCUGGGCGGGUUUGAAUCUCCCAGGCUGGAAGCCAAGGGAUGGAGUAGACAAGAGUUUCUCUGGAUGAGUCUGGGGAACUGGCCACCUGCCCCAGAAUCACGUGGGUUGCUGGUCAGAGAUGCAGGUGCUGAGCCCUGGCCCAGCCCCGGACUCAUCAGACAGCCCUUGACCCAUUGGUCCUUCUAGGGCUGUUUUUUUUUUUUCUUGUCACGAAACCAAAAAAAAAA